UACAGAGGGUGCGAACGUUGCUCGGAAUUACUGGGCGUAAAGCGUGCGUAGGCGGUUCGUUAAGUGCGUCGUGAAAGCCCCGGGCUCAACCUGGGAAUGGCGAUGGAAACUGGCGGGCUGGAGUAUGGCAGAGGGGGGUGGAAUUCCGCGUGUAGCAGUGAAAUGCGUAGAGAUGCGGAGGAACACCGAUGGCGAAGGCAGCUCCCUGGGCCAAUACUGACGCUCAGGCACGAAAGCGUGGGGAGCAAACAGG
rnacentral:rRNA from 1 species